AAGAGUUGCAAAACUCCCAACCAUUGUGAACGAACCUUUCUGCUCAGGCGAGCGGCGCCCUGCCGCUGCAAGCCGAAGGCAGCAAACUCUUGAUUUAAUAAAUAUCUGAGUAGCUUAUUUAAUAAGUCA
rnacentral:misc_RNA from 1 species